rnacentral:tRNA from 1 species
GGGGUAUGGCUCAGUUGGUAGAGCGCUUGCCUUGCAUGCACAAGACCCUGGGUUUGAUCCCCAGCACCACCA